rnacentral:rRNA from 1 species
AUUGAACGCUGGCGGCAGGCCUAACACAUGCAAGUCGAGCGGAUGAAGGGAGCUUGCUCCUGGAUUCAGCGGCGGACGGGUGAGUAAUGCCUAGGAAUCUGCCUGGGAGUGGGGGAUGACGUCCGGUAACGGGCGCUAAUACCGCAUACGUCUUGCGUGAGAAAGUGGGGGAUCUUCGGACCUCACGCUAUCAGCUGAGCCUAGGUCGGAUUAGCUAGUUGGUGGGGUAAAGGCCUACCAAGGCGACGAUCCGUAACUGGUCUGAGAGGAUGAUCAGCCACACUGGAACUGAGACACGGUCCAGACUCCUACGGGAGGCAGCAGUGGGGAAUAUUGGACAAUGGGCGAAAGCCUGAUCCAGCCAUGCCGCGUGUGUGAAGAAGGUCUUCGGAUUGUAAAGCACUUUAAGUUGGGAGGAAGGGCAGUAAGUUAAUACCUUGCUGUUUUGACGUUACCAACAGAAUAAGCACCGGCUAACUUCGUG